AUACGGAAGGGUGCAAGCGUUAAUCGGAAUUACUGGGCGUAAAGCGUGCGUAGGCGGUUUGUUAAGUCUGCUGUGAAAUCCCCGGGCUCAACCUGGGAAUGGCAGUGGAUACUGGCAAGCUAGAGUGUGUCAGAGGAUGGUGGAAUUCCCGGUGUAGCGGUGAAAUGCGUAGAGAUCGGGAGGAACAUCAGUGGCGAAGGCGGCCAUCUGGGACAACACUGACGCUGAGGCACGAAAGCGUGGGGAGC
rnacentral:rRNA from 1 species